GACGAACGCUGGCGGCGUGCCUAAUACAUGCAAGUCGAGCGAAGUUUUUCUGGUGCUUGCCCUAGAAAAACUUAGCGGCGAACGGGUGAGUAACACGUAAAGAACCUGCCUCAUAGACUGGGACAACUAUUGGAAACGAUAGCUAAUACCGGAUAACAGCAUUAACUGCAUGGUUGAUGUUUAAAAGUUGGUUUUGCUAACACUAUGAGAUGGCUUUGCGGUGCAUUAGCUAGUUGGUGGGGUAAAGGCCUACCAAGGCGACGAUGCAUAGCCGACCUGAGAGGGUGAUCGGCCACACUGGGACUGAGACACGGCCCAGACUCCUACGGGAGGCAGCAGUAGGGAAUCUUCCGCAAAGGGCGAAAGCCUGACGGAGCAACGCCGCGUGAGUGAAGAAGGAUUUCGGUUCGUAAAGCUCUGUUGUUAGGGAAGAAUGAUUGUGUAGUAACUAUACACAGUAGAGACGGUACCUAACCAGAAAGCCACGGCUAACUACGUG
rnacentral:rRNA from 1 species